rnacentral:rRNA from 1 species
UACGAAGGGGGCUAGCGUUGUUCGGAAUUACUGGGCGUAAAGCGCACGUAGGCGGAUAUUUAAGUCAGGGGUGAAAUCCCGAGGCUCAACCUCGGAACUGCCUUUGAUACUGGGUAUCUAGAGUCCGGAAGAGGUGAGUGGAAUUCCGAGUGUAGAGGUGAAAUUCGUAGAUAUUCGGAGGAACACCAGUGGCGAAGGCGGCUCACUGGUCCGGUACUGACGCUGAGGUGCGAAAGCGUGGGGAGCAAACAGG